AUUGAACGCUGGCGGCAGGCCUAACACAUGCAAGUCGAGCGGAUGAAGGGAGCUUGCUCCUGGAUUCAGCGGCGGACGGGUGAGUAAUGCCUAGGAAUCUGCCUGGCAGUGGGGGAUAACGUCCGGAAACGGGCGCUAAUACCGCAUACGUCCUGAGGGAGAAAGUGGGGGAUCUUCGGACCCCACGCGAUCUGAUGACCCUAGGUCGGAUUAGCUAGUUGGUGGGGUAAAGGCCUACCAAGGCGACGAUCCGUAACUGGUCUGAGAGGAUGAUCAGUCACACUGGAACUGAGACACGGUCCAGACUCCUACGGGAGGCAGCAGUGGGGAAUCUUGGACAAUGGGCGAAAGCCUGAUCCGGCCAUGCCGCGUGUGUGAAGAAGGUCUUCGGAUUGUAAAGCACUUUAAGUUGGGAGGAAGGGCAGUAAGUUAAUACCUUGCUGUUUUGACGUUACCAACAGAAUAAGCACCGGCUAACUUCGUG
rnacentral:rRNA from 1 species